rnacentral:rRNA from 1 species
AACGAAUUCGCCCUUAGAGUUUGAUCCUGGCUCAGGAUGAACGCUGGCGGCGUGCUUAACACAUGCAAGUCGAACGUGAGCCCGAUUUCGGUUGGGUGAAAGUGGCAAACGGGUGAGUAACACGUUGGUGACCUACCCCCCGGAGGGGGAUAACCCUGGGAAACCAGGGCUAAUACCGCGGAGGUUUGAGCUGUUAGAGGGUUCAAACUAAACCUACGGGGCCGGGGGAGGGGCCUGCGGGCUAUCAGCUAGUUGGUGGGGUAAAGGCCUACCAAGGCGCAGACGGCUAGGGGGCGUGAGAGCGCGACCCCCCACAAGGGAACUGAGACACGGUCCCUACUCCUACGGGAGGCAGCAGUGAGGAAUAUUGCCCAAUGGAGGAAACUCUGAGGCAGCAACGCCGCGUGAACGAUGACGGCCUUCGGGUUGUAAAGUUCUUUUCUCAGGGACGAUGAUGACGGUACCUGAGGAAUAAGUCCCGGCUAACUACGUGCCAGCAGCCGCGGUAAAACGUAGGGGACAAGCGUUAUCCGGAUUUACUGGGCGUAAAGCGCCCGUAGGCGGCUAAAUAAGUUGGACGUGAAAGCUCCCGGCUUAACUGGGAGAGGCCGUUCAAAACUGUCUAGCUAGAGUGAGGCAGAGGAGCGCGGAAUUCCCGGUGUAGUGGUGGAAUGCGUAGAUAUCGGGAGGAACACCAGUGGCGAAAGCGGCGCUCUGGGCCUAAACUGACGCUGAGGGGCGAAAGCGUGGGGAGCGAACGGGAUUAGAUACCCCGGUAGUCCACGCCGUAAACGAUGGAG